rnacentral:rRNA from 1 species
CCUACGUGUGGCUGCAGUGGGGAAUAUUGCACAAUGGGGGAAACCCUGAUGCAGCGACGCCGCGUGAGUGAAGAAGUAAUUCGUUACGUAAAGCUCUAUCAGAAGGGAAGAAAAUGACGGUACCUGAGUAAGAAUCACCGGCUAACGACGUGCCAGCAGCCGCGGUAAUACGUAGGGGGCAAGCGUUAUCCGGAUUUACUGGGUGUAAAGGGAGCGUAGACGGUGUGCCAAGUCUGGAGUGAAAUGCCGCAGCUUAACUGCGGAACUGCUUUGGAAACUGGCGAACUAGAGUGCAGGAGGGGUAAGCGGAAUGCAUGGUGUAGCGGUGAAAUGCGUAGAUAUUAGAAGGAACCCCGGUGGCGAAGGCAGCUUACUGGACCGUAACUGACGUUGAGGCUCGAAAGCGUGGGGAGCAAACAGGAUUAGAUACCCCAGUAGUC